CGUAGGUAACCUGCCUGGUAGCGGGGGGUAACUAUUGGAAACGAUAGCUAAUACCGCAUAAGAGUAGAUGUUGCAUGACAUUUGCUUAAAAGGUGCAAUUGCAUCACUACCAGAUGGACCUGCGUUGUAUUAGCUAGUUGGUGGGGUAACGGCUCACCAAGGCGACGAUACAUAGCCGACCUGAGAGGGUGAUCGGCCAUACUGGGACUGAGACACGGCCCAG
rnacentral:rRNA from 1 species